ACGCUCGACACCUACGGGGAAGCAGCAGUGGGGAAUAUUGCACAAUGGGGGAAACCCUGAUGCAGCGACGCCGCGUGAGCGAAGAAGUAUUUCGGUAUGUAAAGCUCUAUCAGCUAGGGAAGAAACUGACGGUACCUGACUAAGAAGCACCGGCUAAAUACGUGCCAGCAGCCGCGGUAAUCUGAGCGGGCUGGCAAGGC
rnacentral:rRNA from 1 species